CCUGCCAGUAGUCAUAUGCUUGUCUCAAAGAUUAAGCCAUGCAUGUCUCAGUACAAGCCAAAUUAAGGUGAAACCGCGAAAGGCUCAUUAAAUCAGUUAUGGUUCCUUAGAUCGUACCCACAUUUACUUGGAUAACUGUGGUAAUUCUAGAGCUAAUACAUGCAAACAGAGCUCCGACCGGAGACGGGAGGAGUGCUUUUAUUAGAUCAAAACCAAUCGGCGUCAGUACGUUUCGGCGUUACUGUUCGUCGCACUUUUUGGUGACUCUGAAUAACUUUUGGCUGAUCGCACGGUCUUGCACCGGCGACGCAUCUUUCAAAUGUCUGCCUUAUCAACUGUCGAUGGUAGGUUCUGCGCCUACCAUGGUUGUAACGGGUAACGGGGAAUCAGGGUUCGAUUCCGGAGAGGGAGCCUGAGAAACGGCUACCACAUCCAAGGAAGGCAGCAGGCGCGCAAAUUACCCACUCCCGGCACGGGGAGGUAGUGACGAAAAAUAACGAUACGGGACUCAUCCGAGGCCCCGUAAUCGGAAUGAGUACACUUUAAAUCCUAUAACAAGGACCAAUUAGAGGGCAAGUCUGGUGCCAGCCGCCGCGGUAACUCCAGCUCUAAUAGCGUAU
rnacentral:rRNA from 1 species